rnacentral:tRNA from 3 species
CGCUAUAGCUCAGUUGGUAGAGCAACGCUCUCGUAAAGCGUAGGUCAUCGGUUCAAGUCCGAUUAGCG